rnacentral:rRNA from 1 species
GCUUACACAUGCAGUCGAACGAUGAAGCCCAGCUUGCUGGGCGGAUUAGUGGCGAACGGGUGAGUAAUACGUGAGUAACCUGCCUUUAACUCUGGGAUAAGCCUUGGAAACGGGGUCUAAUACCGGAUACGACCAACCCUCGCAUGAGGUGUUGGUGGAAAGGGAUUUUGUACUGGUUUUAGAUGGGCUCACGGCCUAUCAGCUUGUUGGUGAGGUAACGGCUCACCAAGGCGACGACGGGUAGCCGGCCUGAGAGGGUGACCGGCCACACUGGGACUGAGACACGGCCCAGACUCCUACGGGAGGCAGCAGUGGGGAAUAUUGCACAAUGGGCGCAAGCCUGAUGCAGCGACGCCGCGUGAGGGAUGACGGCCUUCGGGUUGUAAACCUCUUUCAGCAGGGGAGAAGCGAAAGUGACGGUACCUGCAGAAGAAGCGCCGGCUAACUACGUGCCAGCAGCCGCGGUAAUACGUAGGGCGCGAGCGUUGUCCGGAAUUAUUGGGCGUAAAGAGCUUGUAGGCGGUUUGUCGCGUCUGCUGUGAAAGCCCGGGGCUUAACCCCGGGUUUGCAGUGGGUACGGGCAGACUAGAGUGCAGUAGGGGAGACUGGAAUUCCUGGUGUAGCGGUGAAAUGCGCAGAUAUCAGGAGGAACACCAAUGGCGAAGGCAGGUCUCUGGGCUGUAACUGACGCUGAGAAGCGAAAGCAUGGGGAGCGAACAGGAUUAGAUACCCUGGUAGUCCAUGCCGUAAACGUUGGGCACUAGGUGUGGGGAACAUUCCACGUUUUCCGCGCCGUAGCUAACGCAUUAAGUGCCCCGCCUGGGGAGUACGGCCGCAAGGCUAAAACUCAAAGAAAUUGACGGGGGCCCGCACAAGCGGCGGAGCAUGCGGAUUAAUUCGAUGCAACGCGAAGAACCUUACCAAGGCUUGACAUAUACUAGACCGCCUCAGAGAUGGGGUUUCCCUUCGGGGCUGGUAUACAGGUGGUGCAUGGUUGUCGUCAGCUCGUGUCGUGAGAUGUUGGGUUAAGUCCCGCAACGAGCGCAACCCUCGUUCUAUGUUGCCAGCACGUAAUGGUGGGGACUCAUAGGAGACUGCCGGGGUUAACUCGGAGGAAGGUGGGGAUGACGUCAAAUCAUCAUGCCCCUUAGUCUUGGGCUUCCAUGCUACAUGGCCGGUACAGGGUUGCAAACUGNGAGGUUNGCUAUCCCAAAAGCCGGAUUUCGAAUGGGGUGCAACCACCCCUGGAAUCGGAUCCCUAAUCCCAAAACCAACCCUCCGGGAAAAAUUUCCCGGCCUUUUAACCCCCCUCAAAUAAAUGUAACCCCAACAGCCCACCCCUUGGGGGAACCCCAGGGGGUUGGGUUGG